rnacentral:rRNA from 1 species
GCAUAUCAAUAAGCGGAGGAAAAGAAACCAACAGGGAUUGCCCUAGUAACGGCGAGUGAAGCGGCAACAGCUCAAAUUUGAAAUCUGGCUUCGGCCCGAGUUGUAAUUUGCAGAGGAAGCUUUAGGCGCGGCACCUUCUGAGUCCCCUGGAACGGGGCGCCAUAGAGGGUGAGAGCCCCGUAUAGUUGGAUGCCUAGCCUGUGUAAAGCUCCUUCGACGAGUCGAGUAGUUUGGGAAUGCUGCUCAAAAUGGGAGGUAAAUUUCUUCUAAAGCUAAAUACCGGCCAGAGACCGAUAGCGCACAAGUAGAGUGAUCGAAAGAUGAAAAGCACUUUGAAAAGAGGGUUAAACAGCACGUGAAAUUGUUGAAAGGGAAGCGCUUGUGACCAGACUUGCGCCAGGCUGAUCAUCCGGUGUUCUCACCGGUGCACUCGGCCCGGCACAGGCCAGCAUCGGUUCUCGCGGGGGGAUAAAGGUCUCGGGAACGUAGCUCCUCCGGGAGUGUUAUAGCCCGGGGCGUAAUGCCCUCGCGGGGACCGAGGUUCGCGCAUCUGCAAGGAUGCUGGCGUAAUGGUCAUCAGCGACCCGUCUUGA